rnacentral:lncRNA from 1 species
AACAAUCAAGCCAGAAAGGAAAUAAACAUGUACUCAUAAGAAAGACGGCUCCAAGAUUGGAAGAAUGUCAAUCACAAGAAAGCCAACUUUGAGAUUGGAAGAAUUUCAAUCACGAAGAUUAGUGGCUUUCAAGUUUUACGGCAAGCAAAUCAAUCAAGACCAAAGCAAAAGGAAAGUAGCCACGCUAUCAAUCACGGAGAAUACUAGACUCCCAGAAUUGUGGCAGAUCGAAUAAAUCAAGACGAAGAGCCAAGGAAAAGAAGACCACACCCUCUACAUGGACAUAUCUGAUAUGGUCAUGAAUGACUGUGAAAACUGCACCACGUAUGAACAUAUCUGAUAUGGACAUACUUUAUGGCGCCAUUCCUCAAUCAAGGAAUCAAUUUACAUCCUUGAUUGAGAAGAAAUCUCUUGGUUUCCCUUAUGAAUAAUAGAAGCUGAAGCAGCUGAUGAUUAUAAAAGAGAAGACCAAAGACCGAAACACUCACACAACUUCAAGAAAGAAUCUCAGAGUGUCUUAAUCUAGUCAGACAAAUCUUGUACUUCUUAGUUUAUAAUAGCUAUAUAAAGAAUUAGAUUGAGUCAACUUUGUAAUAUAAACUGAGGUUGCGUCACAAGAUCUGAGAAGCAAAAUAAUUCUUCAGAACUUGUUUACCAAUAUUGUACUUGAACUCUACUUUGAAAGAUCUAAG